rnacentral:rRNA from 1 species
AUUGAACGCUAGCGGGAUGCUUUACACAUGCAAGUCGAACGAGAGGCGGACGGGUGAGCUAUGUAUCGGAACGUGCGCAGUAGAGGGGGCUAACUACUGGAAAGAGUGGCCAAUAACGCAUACUAUUGGCACGGCAGUAAUCGGAUGAGCUAGUUGGUGGGGUAAAGGCUCACAAAGGCCACGAUCCGUAGCUGGGUGGAGAGGACGAACAGUCACACUGGAACUGAGACACGGCCCAGACUCCUACGGGAGGCAGCAGUGGGGAAUUUUGGACAAUGGGCGAAACCCUGAUCCAGCCAUCCCGCGUGUGUGAGAAGGCCUUCGGAUUGUAAAGUACUUUUGGCAGAGAAGCGGUAUCUACAGAAUAAGCACCGGCUAACUACGUGCCAGCAGCCGCGGUAAUUC